rnacentral:rRNA from 1 species
UACGGGGGGAGCAAGCGUUGUUCGGAUUUACUGGGCGUAAAGGGCGCGUAGGCGGCAUGACAAGUCACUUGUGAAAUCUCCGGGCUUAACUCGGAACUGCCAAGUGAGACUGUCAAGCUAGAGUGCGGAAGGGGCAAUCGGAAUUCUUGGUGUAGCGGUGAAAUGCGUAGAUAUCAAGAGGAACACCUGAGGUGAAGACGGGUUGCUGGGCCGACACUGACGCUGAGGCGCGAAAGCCAGGGGAGCAAACGGG